UACGUAGGGGGCUAGCGUUGUCCGGAAUCAUUGGGCGUAAAGAGCUCGUAGGCGGUUUGUUGCGUCGGCUGUGAAAUCCCGAGGCUCAACCUCGGGUCUGCAGUCGAUACGAGCAAACUAGAGUGUUGCAGGGGAGACUGGAAUUCCUGGUGUAGCGGUGAAAUGCGCAGAUAUCAGGAGGAACACCGGUGGCGAAGGCGGGAUCCUGGGCCAGUACUGACGCUGAGGAGCGAAAGUGUGGGGAGCGAACAGG
rnacentral:rRNA from 1 species